rnacentral:tRNA from 1 species
GUCUCGAUAGCUAAGUGGUAUAGCAUGCGAUUGCAGUGAAAACACAUAUCGCAGGGUCCGGUGUUCGAACCACCGUCGGGACU